UGAUCAUCAUUCAUCAAUUUCUGCAGCAGUUAAAAGGGGCAGCAGACAGAUGAAUUUGGGGUUAAGAAGAAUCAUAAGCCAGGAAAUGGUUGAAGAUCACAUAUGCCGUUGAAACACUGGCCUCAAAUUAUAUCCGCAUAUGCCACAAUAUGUAAAAGCAAAAUGGAUACUCUAGUAAUAAUUACAAGUUAGUGAUGCUAUAUUUGUAUCAACCUGCACUUGAUGUUCCUCUUACGCUACAAAAUUUAGUUUCUGGCAAACGUUCUCGCUUCCAGCUAGUUAAC
rnacentral:lncRNA from 1 species